rnacentral:rRNA from 1 species
ACGGAGGGUGCGAGCGUUGUCCGGAAUCACUGGGCGUAAAGGGCGCGUAGGCGGCCAGUCGCGUCGGCUGUGAAAACCCGAGGCUCAACCUCGGGCCUGCAGUCGAUACGGGCAGGCUAGAGUUCGGUAGGGGAGACUGGAAUUCCUGGUGUAGCGGUGAAAUGCGCAGAUAUCAGGAGGAACACCGGUGGCGAAGGCGGGUCUCUGGGCCGAAACUGACGCUGAGGAGCGAAAGCGUGGGGAGCGAACAGGA